UCCAUGUUGGCUGAAUGAUUUAGGCGGCUGAUUGCAAACCAGCAUCAAAUGGGUUUGAUUCCCAUACAUGGCUCCA
rnacentral:tRNA from 1 species